AGCAGCCGGCUGGCCCCUGUGCCCUGCUGCUCCCAUGUCCCCCCUGAGCCCUGCCAUCCGUUUCCUCCCCAGGUGUGCAGGGGAAUGCAAAAUCUCUCCCUCCGAAACCCACCUUUCCACGCCCUGGGGAGAGACCCUUUGUAUGCUAACCCCCUUCUGGAAACUCCAGUUCAAAGACCCCAGAUCUGUAUCCGAAGGGAACCGAGCAUGUUACCAGAGUGCUUGUUUUGAGCGGACCCACCAGGGAAAGCAUGAAGGUGUGCCAGGGCAGUUAUCCAUGCUGGGAAGGCGGGGAACUGUCCAGCCUGGGAAUACCCCAUCAGAAGGGAGAGAGAUGAGGUCUCAACUCAAGAGAGGCAACAGCUGAGGAGCUGAAAGCCAAGAGUGGUGCCCUUGCUGAACCACUGAGGAGAAAGACAGGUGUAGUUGCCUGGAACUGUGACAGCAUCAUCCAGUAUUGUAAUACAGAUAAAAUCACAGUAGGGUUUGGGGAGUGAGAAAUCUCAGUCCCAUAGGAUUUGCUCAAGGCCGCCAAAAUCUUCUCAGGCAGCAAUGAGCAUUUGAAAGGCAGUGUCAUCUAGGGGAUAGGGUACUGGGCUGGGAGCCAGGAUAUCUAGGUGUAUCUUUGUUCCUAAGAAAACAUU